AGACAUCUACAUAUAACCCUUUUAUUGGCGCUGAACAUUAUGCAAGUGCUACCUGAAAACAUUGUUGGAAUUUCUGGAAACAAUGUGCUCCUCCCUUGUGUUGUCAGUGCACCAAAGCCACUAGAUGUGCAAACUGUCAGUUUUGUAUGGAAAAAGACGCCAAAUAUUACCGUGGUUAGGUUCUCAUCUGGGAAAAACAACAUUGUCCAUGGAUAUCCAGACCGUUAUUUGUUAAACAAUGAACAAAUAGCUAAAGGAAAUUUUUCACUGGUGUUGUUAAAUAUUCAAAAAACAGACGAAGGGAAUUAUAGGUGCUACCUGCCUCCAGGUCAACCACCACAGGAUGUCAAGCUCACUGUUAAAGAACCUGAAGCUGUAGUCACUGAAAAAAGCAAGAGUUUAGGAAAAGAACCUGGAAACACUGCUGUGAAUUUAAUUCCACAGAAAUAUGUUGCAUUCCUCAUUUCUUCAUCAUUUCUACUCUAUCUUGUGGGAUGAGUUUUAGAUAUCAGAAGAUAAAGAAGACAAUCUAGUUAAAUCAUAUAAUUUGAAACUUCUACAAUUUCUGCCUGAUUAAAUUAGAUUUGUAUACUUGGUAGAUUCAAUUUGAGGGGAAAUGUUAUUUUUUUAAUACAAAAUAUGAUUAGCAGU